GGUUGACAUGAAAGAAGGGAAGGCUAGCACUUCCCUGGAUAAGGAUCAGGUGUCCUACUGACCCUGGCACCUACUCUGUGGCAUGGAACCAUUUGUUUUU
rnacentral:ncRNA from 1 species